CCUUGUUAUUAAAAUUUUUUAAUGUUCUUAUCAGGAAUUGGUGGAAAACAAUCCCCUGAUUGCAGUUGAAGUUCUUACCAAGUUAAUAAAUUCUCCAGAAAUUGCCGACUAUUUUACAGUUCUUGUCAAUAUGGAAAUGAGCCUACACUCAAUGGAAGUUGUGAACAGGCUAACAACAGCAGUAGAACUUCCUAGGGAAUUUAUUCGCAUGUAUAUCACUAACUGUAUAUCAUCUUGUGAGAGCAUUAAGGACAAGUACAUGCAGAACAGACUUGUACGACUUGUAUGUGUUUUCUUGCAGAGUUUAAUCCGAAACAGAAUUAUUGACGUGAAGGAUCUUUUUAUUGAAGUUCAAGCUUUUUGCAUUGAGUUUUCGCGGAUUCGGGAGGCAGCUGGCUUAUUUAGGCUUCUUAAAACCUUGGAAUGACCUGCAUCUCAAUUCUUAAAAAUGAUGCCUGGUAAAAAAAGUUAUUACGUUCUGUUUCAAUCUCUAUUAUGUUUUGUGUUUUGUAGAUAAUAAUGUUGUCAUUUGUUUUUCAAGUAUAUUUUAGGUUUGUCAAAUCACAGUUUUCCAUAUGAAAAGUGAGAUGAUUUUUCAUUUUGUUUCUAACUUCCAACUAAUGUGAACGAAAACUGGGUUAACAGUUAGCCA